CAAUAGCGUAUAUUUAAGUUGUUGCAGUUAAAAAGCUCGUAGUUGGAUUUCGGAUGGGAUUUGCCGGUCCGUCGUUACGAUGUGCACUGGCCAGUCCUAUCUUGUUGUCGGGGACUAGCUCCUUGGAUUCACUUCCUGGGACUAGGAGCUGACGAGGUUACUUUGAGUAAAUUAGAGUGUUCAAAGCAAGCCUACGCUCUGAAUACAUUAGCAUGGAAUAACACGAUAGGACUCUGGCUUAUCUUGUUGGUCUGUGAGACCAGAGUAAUGAUUAAGAGGGACAGUCGGGGACAUUCGUAUUUCAUUGUCAGAGGUGAAAUUCUUGGAUUUAUGAAAGACGAACUUCUGCGAAAGCAUUUGCCAAGAAUGUUUUCAUUAA
rnacentral:rRNA from 1 species